rnacentral:sRNA from 1 species
GCCGGGUGUGGUGGCUCAUGCCUGUAAUCCCAACACUUUGGGAGGCUGAGGUGGGCAGAUCACUUGAGGCCAGGAGUUCAAGACCAGCCUGGCCAACAUGGUGAAUCCCCAUCUCUU